CCUACGGGAGGCAGCAGUAGGGAAUAUUGGUCAAUGGGCGCAAGCCUGAACCAGCCAUGCCGCGUGCAGGAUGAAAGCCCUCUGGGUUGUAAACUGCUUUUAUAUGGAAAUAAAAGGCCCUUGAGAGGGUUAUUGAAGGUACCAUAAGAAUAAGCACCGGCUAACUCCGUGCCAGCAGCCGCGGUAAU
rnacentral:rRNA from 1 species